ensembl:lncRNA
UGGUUUGCUAGUGAGGCCAUGUGGGAUCUGAUGGUGAUACUCUGGAAGUCCUUUUUCUUAUCUGGUCUCUUUCCUCAGAGUGGGAAGACCUUGAGGGCUUGUGGCUGUGGAGGACCCCAGUCAGGGUUUGGAGCACUCCUGAGGAACUGGAGUCUGCAGCUUUCCCUUGGGACAGGGAGAGGAAAGGCCAUUUCACAAGAGAAACUGAGAAUCCUUUUAAACAUUCUGAAUUUCAUGUUCUAGCAAGGAUAUCAACAACAGAAAACAGAACUAAACCCUUUCUAUUCCUCAUUAAGCAGUUAGUAUUGUUAUGCUUCCAGAAAUAAUGAUGUGACUGUUAGAAAAUAUAAAAGAUGACUAUGUUAACAGUAAUCUGAAUUUUGAGCUAACCUUCAAAACCUUGAGUGUGAGAAGAAAAUAAUGAGCAAAUGUCAAAUCUUCUGAUGUGGAAGUUAAAACUAAAGAUAUCCCAAGUCAGUUUUCUUUGUUAUGACAAAUAUAAAACCAUAUACUACUAUGCCAUUUAGGUAAGUUAUUUUCUGCGUGCAGAAAUAUGCAUCUCUUCCAUAUAUUUUUAUCAGUAACGUCUUAAAUAAUUUUACAUUAAACAGAUGUCUAAAGUAUGUACUAUGCAACUGCAGUAAUAAAUGUUAUUUAUAACUAUACUUCAUCUAUGUAUUCCAUUUUACUAAAUUUAUGGAGGGAAGGUUGCAAAAAGAUCUGAUUUCUAAAAAAAAUUGUUUUUCUGGGAUGUCUGGAAACUGAUUUUUCAACAUAGGGUAAUAGACUGGUGUAUUUUCAUUCACUCUGCAUAAAUGUCUUUCUCUCAUCAAAAAGAUGUGUAGUGUGAGUUUAUUCAGCAAACCUUACCACAGUUUUUUUCCUCAAAUUCCAUAAAACUUCUGUACAGUUUUACAUGUUUUUUGUUUGUUCCAUAUCUGUAUGACAGUUAGAGCGGAUUUAUUAGAAAGUUUUUCUUAAAAAAAAAAAAAAAAAAGAAUCUGGAAUAGGUUCAGAAAAUUAUGGAGUCUCUCUUUGAUAAUUCAAGCAAAUGUUUUACUGAAGUGAUGGUCAUACUCCAUCAUCUAGCCAAAGGAGUGUCCUAGGAUAGGACUCAAUAUGCCUGUGUGGUUUACAUGGUUAUCUCUGUGAAUCUUGUGGAAUUCUGCUCUGAUUUGUCCUAUGCUGUUUCUGUGAGUACCUUCCAAAUAA